UACGUAGGGGGCAAGCGUUGUCCGGAAUCAUUGGGCGUAAAGCGCGUGUAGGCGGCCAGAUAAGUCCGCUGUGAAAUCUCGAGGCUCAACUUCGAGCUGUCGGUGGAAACUGUCUGGCUAGAGUCCGGAAGAGGAGAAUGGAAUUCCUGGUGUAGCGGUGAAAUGCGCAGAUAUCAGGAAGAACACCAAUGGCGAAAGCAGCUCUCUGGGACGGUACUGACGCUGAGACGCGAAAGCGUGGGGAGCGAACAGG
rnacentral:rRNA from 1 species